rnacentral:rRNA from 1 species
UACGAAGGGGGCUAGCGUUGUUCGGAAUCACUGGGCGUAAAGCGCACGUAGGCGGAUGUGCCAGUCAGGGGUGAAAUCCCGGAGCUCAACUCCGGAACUGCCUCUGAUACAGCACGUCUUGAGUUCGAGAGAGGUGGGUGGAAUUCCUAGUGUAGAGGUGAAAUUCGUAGAUAUUCGCAAGAACACCAGUGGCGAAGGCGGCUCACUGGUCCGGUUCUGACGCUGAGGCGCGAAAGCGUGGGGAGCAAACAGG